AAUAGAUACCCGGGUAGUCCACGCCGUAAACGAUGAGUGCUAGGUGUUAGGGGGGUUUCCGCCCCUUAGUGCUGCAGCUAACGCAUUAAGCACUCCGCCUGGGGAGUACGGUCGCAAGACUGAAACUCAAAGGAAUUGACGGGGGCCCGCACAAGCGGUGGAGCAUGUGGUUUAAUUCGAAGCAACGCGAAGAACCUUACCAGGUCUUGACAUCCCGCUGACCGCCAUGGAGACAUGGCCUUCCCUUCGGGGACAGCGGUGACAGGUGGUGCAUGGUUGUCGUCAGCUCGUGUCGUGAGAUGUUGGGUUAAGUCCCGCAACGAGCGCAACCCUUGUCCUUAGUUGCCAUCAUUCAGUUGGGCACUCUAAGGAGACUGCCGUACAAAUACGGAGGAAGGUGGGGAUGACGUCAAAUCAUCAUGCCCCUUAUGACCUGGGCUACACACGUGCUACAAUGGGUGGUACAAAGGGCAGCGAACCCGCGAGGGGGGAGCGAAUCCCAAAAAGCCACUCUCAGUUCGGAUUGCAGGCUGCAACUCCG
rnacentral:rRNA from 1 species